UGGGGAAUAUUGGACAAUGGGCGAAAGCCUGAUCCAGCCAUGCCGCGUGUGUGAAGAAGGUCUUCGGAUUGUAAAGCACUUUAAGUUGGGAGGAAGGGCAGUAAGCGAAUACCUUGCUGUUUUGACGUUACCGACAGAAUAAGCACCGGCUAACUCUGUGCCAGCAGCCGCGGUAAUACAGAGGGUGCAAGCGUUAAUCGGAAUUACUGGGCGUAAAGCGCGCGUAGGUGGUUCGUUAAGUUGAAUGUGAAAGCCCCGGGCUCAACCUGGGAACUGCAUCCGAAACUGGCGAGCUAGAGUAGGGCAGAGGGUGGUGGAAUUUCCUGUGUGGCGGUGAAAUGCGUAGAUAUAGGAAGGAACACCAGUGGCGAAGGCGACCACCUGGGCUCAUACUGACACUGAGGUGCGAAAGCGUGGGGAGCAAACAGG
rnacentral:rRNA from 1 species